UUGUUCCAGUUCAAAUGCAGUUAAUUAUCAAAUACCAUCCCCUUUGGUGAAGUUAAACAGCAAGUCUUAUUACAGCCCAAUAGAUUUGUGUAGAAAUUCCUUCAUGCUGCCUCCUAUAUAUAGAUAAUGAGAGGGAACAACUUCAGCUCAGUUGAUGAAAUACUGUGCGGGUCAGAAACACACUUCUUACAUUUACAGCUAAAAACGAAUAAUAUAUUUGCACUUUAUAUUAGGCCUUAGUAAAGUCCUUCCACCAAAUAGUGUCACAUUUGUAAACAGGAGUAGGUGGAUCACCGGUCACUGAGCUGGCAAGCUAAAGUUAGCUAGUUAGUCACAUACAUGUACGUUCGGCAUAAUGAUUAUUUAUCUUACGAAGUCAGCAUGGCUAAACAUAGUUUAUUUCGUUUUUGACCACGACAUUGUUGCUGGAUAGAUACUUUCAUACCUAAUAUGCUGGCGCUGCUAGCUAGCUAAUGCUAACGGCGCUAGCUAACCUCAUAUCUGGAUGACUCACUCUAGUUCCCGAGAGAGCAGCAUACUGGCCCUCCAUUCCCAAACCUGAAGCCCCCUGUCCCCAGCAAGAAAGACCAGGAAAAAGUGCUAGCUUAAGACCUGCUCGGUGGGUGACAGGUGACCCGUCUUUCCACCAAGCUGGGCCAGGCCUGGAGUGAGUGACAGCUAACCUGUCUUUCCACCAAGCUGGGCCAGGCCUGGAGUGGGUGACGGGUAACCCGUCUUUCCACCAAGCUGGGCCAUACCUGGAGUGGGUGACGGGUAACCCGUCUUUCCACCAAGCUGGGCCAGGCCUGGAGUGGGUGACAGGUAACCCUCUUUCCACCAAGCUGGGCCAGGCCUGGAGUGGCACGCUGGAACUUCCAGAGGCUUGUAGACCUAAAGCAGUGUGAUGUGGUGCAGGUAAUUAUCAAAUACACAUAUAUACAUUAACUCACUCUGUUUUGUUGUAUAAUUUUAACUGAAAAAAUGGUUCCUCUUUGAGAUCUGACACCCCUAUUAGCUCAACCACAGUCUUCACAGCUGCAGUCGUCUGCUCCUGCAUCUGCAGUCGUCUGCUCCUGCAUCUGCUACACCGGCCACGACAGGUGAUACAGAUCUGCCAUGUACUCCUCCACUGCCUGACAGCCUCACCCAGAAGUGCAAUACACAGGGCCUUGCAAGACUGACAAAGCAGAGAUGGGUGGCUGACAAGGAAAAAUAAAACAACAUGCACUCAAAUACAUUAUACACAAUGUAAAUAAGUUGUAAUUACUUGUUCAUUUAAUGUUUGGUCCAUUUUAUUUUAGGAUUGGAUAGAUCUACUCCUUCAUAUCCAUUGUCAAUAUCUACAUAAUUACUCUAAAUAUCUAUCAAAUCAAAGUGUGAUUGAUAAUUUUGUAAAAGGCUAUGGCUUAAUGUUUACAGUUUGGGGAAAUUCUGUGUGCUUUUUUCUGAGUUGAAAAACAUGUCUCCCUCUCACACACACAUUAGACCCAAUGUAAAUCAAUUGUAAUAACUUGUUUAUUUUUUGUAUGCUACAUUUUAUUUGAGGAGAAUAUCUGCAAUAAACUACAUUCAGUUAAA